CGGAGGGUGCAAGCGUUAUCCGGAUUCACUGGGUUUAAAGGGUGCGUAGGUGGGCUUGUAAGUCAGUGGUGAAAUCUCCGUGCUUAACAUGGAAACUGCCAUUGAUACUAUAGGUCUUGAAUUAUCUGGAGGUCAGCGGAAUAUGUCAUGUAGCGGUGAAAUGCUUAGAUAUGACAUAGAACACCAAUUGCGAAGGCAGCUGGCUACAGGUAUAUUGACACUGAGGCACGAAAGCGUGGGGAUCAAACAGGAUUAGAUACCCUGGUAGUCCACGCCCUAAACGAUGGAUACUCGACAUUUGUGAUACACAAUAAGUGCCUGAGCGAAAGCAUUAAGUAUCCCACCUGGGAAGUACGACCGCAAGGUUG
rnacentral:rRNA from 1 species